rnacentral:rRNA from 1 species
AGAGUUUGAUCCUGGCUCAGGAUGAACGCUGGCGGCGUGCUUAACACAUGCAAGUCGAGCGCACCUUCGGGUGAGUGGCGGACGGGUGAGUAACGCGUGGGAAUCUGCCCUCAGGAGGGGGAUAACGGCUGGAAACGGCCGCUAAUACCCCAUAUGCCGAGAGGUGAAAUGAAUUUCGCCUGAGGAUGAGCCCGCGUCUGAUUAGCUAGUUGGUGGGGUAAUGGCCCACCAAGGCGACGAUCAGUAGCUGGUCUGAGAGGAUGAUCAGCCACACUGGGACUGAGACACGGCCCAGACUCCUACGGGAGGCAGCAGUGGGGAAUUUUCCGCAAUGGGCGAAAGCCUGACGGAGCAACGCCGCGUGAGGGAUGAAGGCCCCUGGGCUGUAAACCUCUUUUCUCAAGGAAGAAGACAUGACGGUACUUGAGGAAUAAGCCACGGCUAAUUCCGUGCCAGCAGCCGCGGUAAUACGGGAGUGGCAAGCGUUAUCCGGAAUUAUUGGGCGUAAAGCGUCCGCAGGCGGCCUUGUAAGUCUGUCGUUAAAGCGUGGAGCUUAACUCCAUUUAAGCGAUGGAAACUACAAGGCUUGAGUGUGGUAGGGGCAGAGGGAAUUCCCGGUGUAGCGGUGAAAUGCGUAGAUAUCGGGAAGAACACCAGUGGCGAAGGCGCUCUGCUGGGCCAUAACUGACGCUCAUGGACGAAAGCCAGGGGAGCGAAAGGGAUUAGAUACCCCUGUAGUCCUGGCCGUAAACGAUGAACACUAGGUGUCGGGGGAAUCGACCCCCUCGGUGUCGUAGCUAACGCGUUAAGUGUUCCGCCUGGGGAGUACGCACGCAAGUGUGAAACUCAAAGGAAUUGACGGGGGCCCGCACAAGCGGUGGAGUAUGUGGUUUAAUACGAUGCAACGCGAAGAACCUUACCAGGGUUUGACAUCCUGCGAAUCCCUUGGAAACUUGGGAGUGCCUUCGGGAGCGCAGAGACAGGUGGUGCAUGGCUGUCGUCAGCUCGUGUCGUGAGAUGUUGGGUUAAGUCCCGCAACGAGCGCAACCCACGUCUUUAGUUGCCAGCAUUCAGUUGGGCACUCUAGAGAGACCGCCGGUGAUAAACCGGAGGAAGGUGUGGAUGACGUCAAGUCAUCAUGCCCCUUACAUCCUGGGCUACACACGUACUACAAUGCUACGGACAAAGGGCAGCAAGCUCGCGAGAGUUAGCAAAUCCCAUAAACCGUGGCUCAGUUCAGAUCGUAGGCUGCAACUCGCCUACGUGAAGGAGGAAUCGCUAGUAAUCGCAGGUCAGCAUACUGCGGUGAAUACGUUCCCGGGCCUUGUACACACCGCCCGUCACACCAUGGAAGUUGGCCAUGCCCGAAGUCGUUACUCCAACCCUUGUGGAGGAGGACGCCGAAGGUGGGGCUGAUGACUGGGGUGAAGUCGAACAAGGUA